rnacentral:rRNA from 1 species
GACGAACGCUGGCGGCGUGCUUAACACAUGCAAGUCGAACGGAAAGGCCCUGCUUUUGUGGGGUGCUCGAGUGGCGAACGGGUGAGUAACACGUGAGUAACCUGCCCUUGACUUUGGGAUAACUUCAGGAAACUGGGGCUAAUACCGGAUAGGAGCUCCUGCUGCAUGGUGGGGGUUGGAAAGUUUCGGCGGUUGGGGAUGGACUCGCGGCUUAUCAGCUUGUUGGUGGGGUAGUGGCUUACCAAGGCUUUGACGGGUAGCCGGCCUGAGAGGGUGGCCGGCCACAUGGGGACUGAGAUACGGCCCAGAAUCAUACGGGAGGCAGAAGUAGGGAAUAGUGCACAAUGGGCGGAAGCCUGAUGCAGCAACGCCGCGUGCGGGAUGACAGCCUUCGGGUUGUAAACCGCUUUCGCCUGUGACGAAGCGUGAGUGACGGUAAUGGGUAAAGAAGCACCGGCUAACUACGUG